GACGUACGCUGGCGGCGUGCCUAAUACAUGCAAGUCGAGCGGACCGAACGAGGGCUUGCUCUUGUUUGGUCAGCGGCGGACGGGUGAGUAACACGUGGGCAACCUGCCCGCAAGACCGGGAUAACUCCGGGAAACCGGAGCUAAUACCGGAUAACACCGAAGACCGCAUGGUCUUCGGUUGAAAGGCGGCCUUUGGGCUGUCACUUGCGGAUGGGCCCGCGGCGCAUUAGCUAGUUGGUGAGGUAACGGCUCACCAAGGCGACGAUGCGGAGCCCGCCUGGGAGGGUGACCGGCCACACUGGGACGGAGACACGGCCCAGACUCCUACGGGAGGCAGCAGUAGGGAAUCUUCCGCAAUGGGCGAAAGCCUGACGGAGCGACGCCGCGUGAGCGAAGAAGGCCUUCGGGUCGUAAAGCUCUGUUGUGAGGGACGAAGGAGCGCCGUUCGAAGAGGGCGGCGCGGUGACGGUACCUCACGAGAAAGCCCCGGCUAGCUACGUGCCAGCCGCCGCAGUAA
rnacentral:rRNA from 1 species